UUUUUAUAUUAUAGCUACGGCGCUUGUUGAUGGGUGUGCGGCUGGAUUAGGAGUUGCGGGGUAACGGCCCACCAAGCCUUCGAUCAGUAGCUGAUGUGAGAGCAUGAUCAGCCACACGGGCACUGAGACACGGGCCCGACUCCUACGGGAGGCAGCAGUAAGGAAUAUUGGACAAUGGGCGCAAGCCUGAUCCAGCCAUGCCGCGUGAAGGAUUAAGGUACCUCUGGAUUGUAAACUUCUUUUAUAAGGGACGAAAAAGGGAAUUACUUUCUCACUUGACGGUACCUUAUGAAUAAGCACCGGCUAACUCCGUGCCAGCAGCCGCGGUAAUACGGAGGGUGCAAGCGUUAUCCGGAUUCACUGGGUUUAAAGGGUGCGUAGGCGGGUAUUUAAGUCAGUGGUGAAAUCCUAGAGCUUAACUCUAGAACUGCCAUUGAUACUAUUUAUCUUGAAUAUUGUGGAGGUAAGCGGAAUAUGUCAUGUAGCGGUGAAAUGCUUAGAUAUGACAUAGAACACCUAUUGCGAAGGCAGCUUACUACGCAUAUAUUGACGCUGAGGCACGAAAGCGUGGGGAUCAAACAGGAUUAGAUACCCUGGUAGUCCACGCCCUAAACGAUGGAUACUCGACAUACGCGAUACACUGUGUGUGUCUGAGCGAAAGCAUUAAGUAUCCCACCUGGGAAGUACGACCGCAAGGUUGAAACUCAAAGGAACUGGMGGGGGGGAACUUACCCGACAAGGAAUUUCGCUACCUUAGGACCGUUAUCGUUACGGCCGCCGUUUACUGGGGCUUCAGUCAGGAGCUUUGGCUUGCGCCGAACACCCUUCCUUAACCUUCCAGCACCGGGGCAGGUUUUCAGGCUCUAUACGUCAACUUACGUUUUUGCAGGGCCCUGUGUUUUUGUUAAACAGUUGGUUGAACCAUUUUACUGUGACCCCGCUUUGCAGCGGGGUACGCUUUAUCCCGAAGUUACAGCGUCAAUUUGCCUAGUUCCUUCUCCACGGCUCACCCGAGCGCGUUAGAAUACUCAUCCCGUCUACCUGUGUCGGAUUCCGGUACUGGCUGCUAUACUCGCUUUUCUUGGAAGAACUUUCAUCGAUACGCUUCACCCGAAGGAUCCACU
rnacentral:rRNA from 1 species